GACACAUGGGAGUGUGUCAAAAAGGGGGGAGUUGAGUUUUAACAUCAAACAAUGGUUUUAUGAACAUUUUAUGACUUUAUUUGUGGGUUUAAUCAUUUAUCCCCAUGAUUACAACUAAAAACAUUUUUUCUGUCCCACUUCAUUUAGACAGCAUGCUGCGACAGUGGGUGAGAAAAACAUUACUACUAUGAAGGGGAAAUAAGCAAAGUUACACUGUUUUUCUUUUGGUGCAUAUUAUCCAGCAACAGCUAACUGUCAUUUAAAGGAGACAGUGAGUGCUUUUUUGAGCACAUCUUCAGCUCAGCCUUCUUCACCUCAGGCUGCUAUCUUUUAGCCAUCAGUGCCAGCACCAUACAUCACAGCAUGUCUCACUGUAAACUUUCACUUUCACUCUUGCUGCAAUCCUUCUGUCACAAAUCUUACCUAACACUCUACUCUUCUUCACCUCUUUUGGAAGGUUGAACCCAGAUAUUUAAAAUCAUCUCAGUUUCUCUAGAUCCACAAAGACACUGAAGCUCUUUCUAACAUUCUCUAUACUUCAUGCCUCUGUCGUCACUACAGCUCUGCAUGUCACCUUUGUUUAUGGAAAUCUGUACCAGUAGACUAUUUCUUUAAGUUCGUUCACUCCACAGACUCAGGGUGUUGAUUAUCUUUGUUUCUAUUUAGCACAAAAAGGAUAUUGUGAAGAAGGAAAUUUUGAGUUGCUCCUCAGAGUUUUAACUAGUUUCAGCCUAUGCCAUGUAGUGUGUAUUUAAAAAAAGCAGAAAGACCAAAAGCUGACUGGUUUUAAAAUAUGAUGUAUAUCUGGUCCACCCCUCCCUGCAGCGGAGCUACAGAACACACCCCACCACAGCCUGAUCUGUCACUUCCCCUUUCUUUUAUUGUUUGUUCCCUUGGUAUUAAAAGUUACAAAAUACAUACAUGUGAUCAUAAGUUUUACUUGGGCUUUAACCCGACAAUUCAGCUAACCUUUGAUAAGGUUUCUUCUUUUCCUCUGUUUUUUUCUUAACUGACUGUCAUUGUGAUUUCAGAGACUUUCCACCUCCACAGCAGGACAAAUUCAGCAGUGUCUGUGGAAGAGGAGAAGAAAAAGGAGCCAGGCAGCACCAGCUCAGAGGGAGAAGAUGAUGUUGAUCAUUUUGAUCUUCAGCCUAAAGUUCUCUCAGGUGUCUACCCAAAGAAACGACAGUGAAGAUGGAGGAAGAUCUACAUCAGACAUCCUGAAAAUUGUACUCCAGUUACUACUGGGUCCUUUUUUGGCAUGUAUGAUAUAUUCUCUAUGGAGACAUCAGGCACGCUUACGUCGUCAACGAUAACAACACCAGCAUUAGUUUCCAUGAGGAGCAGAGAGGAGGAUCAAUAACACAUGAUCAUCAAUCUGUGUAUUGAUUUGACAGAGAAAUUUAAGGAAACCAGCAGC
ensembl:lncRNA